AACGGAUAUUCUAGCUCCAUCUUGGCUUACGUCCGCAACGCAGUCCAUGGCGUCUACCAGACCGGACUCCAGCUCGCCCAGGAUAUCAUGUUUAGGGAGGAUGGGGUUGAGGAGCGGGAAGAUGAGGAAGAAGAGGAGGAGCAGGAGGAGGAAGAGGAAGAUGAGGAGGGGGAGGGCAGUGAAGACGAAGAAUAUGACGAGGAGGACGAUGACGACACCGAAGAGGAGGAAAACGACAACGGGGAUGAAGAUGUGGAAGAAAAUGACGGAAUGUUGGAGAGAGAAAGAAGACGGAGGAGGAGAAGGAGAACUCUAAGAAGGAGGAGGAUAAGGAGGAUAGCUGUUGGGGGCUGUGAAGAAGAAGGAGGAGGAGGAGAGGGCUGAGAAGGAGGUGUCGAACCGUAGGAAUAGUUGACAUGGUCACCGACGACCGUCGAGGGAGCACCAUUGCUCACUUACUCGAUCAUGCAGCUCUGAUGAGGGAGUUACCUCACCAUUGACACUUUACCACAGAGUAUUGAACAUGUUGAAUUGGACAUUCGUCAAAGUAUGUAGUGGUAUGUGAUCCAUCUGAUCUGGGUCGUCAUUCAGUCACUAAUGGUGUCCUAGUUCUCCAUCGGUUCUCUAUGGCGUCCACCAGAUCAUCAUUGAGGUCGCCCACGACGUCGUCAACAUAGAGGGAGUAUAAGAAUGGAAUGAUGAGGAUAAAAAGACGUCGACGAGGGCAGCACCGUGGCAGACGAUGAAGAUAUACUAUUGCAUAAUCAGAUUCAACUUUGGCUGCAUCAUCAGCAGUGAUCAAAAGCCUCAUAUCAAGCGUCUCUCACUGAUAACAAGAAUGCGAA